CUCCUGAUAGCAUAGCAAGGUGGGAAGACUGGAUUCUCAAGGCCAGACUGGCUCGGCCACGGUACUGCAGGCUGACCCCAAUGCCAGGGUUGCUGGACACUCAAGGGUGACAGCCCUGCAAAUAAGACUAUGGUCCUGAGGUUGGCGGGCAGCGUAAUUGCAGCACUUGCGUGUGGAGGCCGCGUCGUACGCUCCUAUCUCCCAGAGACUCCGUGCCAGAGCCGGCGAGGCCCCGGAGGGACUGCAGUGCUUGUGAACUUUGAUGGAUGUGGGGAGCUGAAGAGGACGAUGACUUGGAGCAAACCCAGGAAUUGAACAUGGACCCUCCGGAAGAGCAGCCAUCUCUCCAGUCCCUGCCUUUCUAGUUACAAAAACAUCUCGUAUCCAUUGACAGUGCCUAAUAGGCAAUCAUUGUCUAGCGCUUAAUGAAUUUCAAGUACUGUUGUAAGUACUAACACUUAGCAGCUGAUUUAAUCAUUCUAGAAUGCUGUAGCCUAUUUCCCAGGGUCACUGGGCUAUUUAAAACCACAGCUUCUUGUUCCACAGCUCUUAGCAGUAUCAAAUAUACUACAUGCUUACUUCA